rnacentral:rRNA from 1 species
GCAUAUCAAUAAGCGGGGGGA